rnacentral:other from 1 species
GGGUUCCUGUGAUGUUCGACACCGGGCUUUUGCAUUCUUGACCCUACAAUCAUGCGCCUCAGGGGAGGUGGCGUAAUGCCGUUGGUGUGCAGGUCCGCCACGAGCGGAAAGCCUAAGACGUCAUUCGACCUCCCCGACCUGAACCAAAGGGUUCAAGGGCGUUGCCCGAACGGCAUGAUGGGGACCCA